CCCAGACUCCUACGGGAGGCAGCAGUGGGGGAUAUUGCACAAUGGGGGAAACCCUGAUGCAGCGACGCCGCGUGGGUGAAGAAGUAUUUCGGUAUGUAAAGCCCUAUCAGCAGGGAAGAAAGAAGACGGUACCUGACUAAGAAGCCCCGGCUAACUACGUGCCAGCAGCCGCGGUAAUACGUAGGGGGCGAGCGUUAUCCGGAUUCACUGGGUGUAAAGGGAGCGUAGACGGCCGUGCAAGCCAGGAGUGAAAGCCCGGGGCCCAACCCCGGGACUGCUCUUGGAACUGUGCGGCUGGAGUGCGGGAGGGGCAGGCGGAAUUCCUGGUGUAGCGGUGAAAUGCGUAGAUAUCAGGAGGAACACCGGCGGCGAAGGCGGCCUGCUGGACCGCGACUGACGUUGAGGCUCGAAAGCGUGGGGAGCAAACAGGAUUAGAUACCCUGGUA
rnacentral:rRNA from 1 species